rnacentral:rRNA from 1 species
UACCAGCACCCCGAGUGGUUGGGACGAUUAUUGGGCCUAAAGCAUCCGUAGCCGGCCUUACAAGUCCCCCGUUAAAUCCAACUGCUUAACAGAUGGGCUGCGGAGGAUACUAUAAGACUAGGAGGCAGGAGAGGCAAGCGGUACUCAGUGGGUAGGGGUAAAAUCCGUUGAUCCAUUGAAGACCACCAGUGGCGAAGGCGGCUUGCCAGAAUGCGCUCGACGGUGAGGGAUGAAAGCUGGGGGAGCAAACCGG